GACGAACGCUGGCGGCGUGCUUAACACAUGCAAGUCGAACGGAAAGGCCCUGCUUUUGUGGGGUGCUCGAGUGGCGAACGGGUGAGUAACACGUGAGUAACCUGCCCUUGACUUUGGGAUAACUUCAGGAAACUGGGGCUAAUACCGGAUAGGAGCUCCUGCUGCAUGGUGGGGGUUGGAAAGUUUCGGCGGUUGGGGAUGGACUCGCGGCUUAUCAGCUUGUUGGUGGGGUAGUGGCUUACCAAGGCUUUGACGGGUAGCCGGCCUGAGAGGGUGACCGGCCACCUUGGGACUGAGAUACGGCCCAGACUCCUACGGGAGGCAGCAGUGGGAAAUAUUGCCCAAUGGGCGGAAGCCUGAUGCAGCAACGCCGCGUGCGGGAUGACGGCCUUCGGGUUGUAAACCGCUUUCGCCUGUGACGAAGCGUGAGUGACGGUAAUGGGUAAAGAAGCACCGGCUAACUACGUG
rnacentral:rRNA from 1 species